GUGAGAUGGCGUCCGACAGACAGACAUCGCUGUGCUGUGAAGAUUUAUUGGACUGAUGUCUGUUAUUUGCUUUAUGAUACAGUUAAGGAGUAAGGUGUUACGACUACUGGGGUGGAGUGACAGGAGACAACAGGAGAUGAACAAGACUCUGAAGGCUCGGCCAUCUUGUGAGCUGGAGGACUGUAGGCAGCCAUCUUGUGAACUGGAGGACUGGAAGCGGCCAUCUUGAGAGCUGGAGGAUGUGCCGUAGACUAAAGUGUAGGUGCCAGAC